AACAUCGCGCACCUGCGGGAACCUGCGGAGGGAUCAUCAAAGAAAUUUAUUAUUUGAACAGAGGGGAGAUCAGAUCAAACUUUUUUUCGUUUCUGGAGAAAGGGAGGAGAGGGAUGAAAACUCUGCAUUUUGUUCCUCAAAUCCUUUUCGAAAGAGAUAGAUAAGGGGGUAGGAUCUCUCUUCUGGGCAAACAACCAAUCUACAUGACUAGGAAAACAAACAUGGUGAUGUGAUGUGCUG
rnacentral:misc_RNA from 1 species